rnacentral:lncRNA from 1 species
GAAAAUAGUAACUUAAGACAAUAAAGAAACUCUUAGGAUGGUUACCCAGAAUAAAUAUCUGUGCUUUUGGUGUCUAUAAUUCUAGGGGAAGGAUCAGAUGCCAGAUAGUUUAUGUCUAGAAUGAGAAGAGAGAAGAAAAGAAUCAUAGAGAAGGAAGCAACUGAAAGGGUCCCAAGAGGAGGAGGAAAAGGCAGAGGAGCCGAGCAGAGGCAAAGCCAUGACCUCUGUGUUGAAGAACUCCACUAUCUGAGGCAUAGAUCGGCACUGUCAGCUUCCUGCUAAGACAGAAAAAUAACUUGCUCCCAAUGUGGAAGCCAGACCUGUUUGUGGUAAAAUCAAAUAAAA